AGGAGGAACAACCGCAGUGGCUGUGGCCAGCUCUGGAGCCCUGGAUUCAGCCCCCGCAGGAACUCCGGAGCUCUCCGUCUGCAGGGCCUGGAGGCUCCGGGGCGGG
rnacentral:pre_miRNA from 1 species